ACAUAGCUUUUUGGUUUUNUAGAAGGUAUAGCCUGCCCACUGAAAAUUUGAAGGGCCGCGGUAUUUUGACCGUGCAAAGGUAGCAUAAUCAGUAGUCUUUUAAUUGGAGGCUGGCAUGAAGGGUUGCACAUAACUGGAGCUGUCUCAUUUGAAAUAUUAAAUUUAACUUUUAGGUGAAAAGGCCUAAAUAUAGUAGGGGGACGAGAAGACCCUAUAGAGCUUUACUAAUGGUGUUGUUAGGCCUUUAGAAGAAUUUUAGUUUAACAAUCGGUUAGUUAAAUUGGGGUGAUUGGAAAAUAAUAAACUUUUCUUAAAAUAACAAUUAUUUUUGGAAUUAUGAUCCUUUAUUAUGGAUUUUAAGAUCAAGUUACCUUAGGGAUAACAGCGUAAUUCUUUUGGAGAGUUCUUAUCGAUAAAAGAGUUUGCGACCUCGAUGUUGGACUAAGAAUAGUAUUAGGGGCAGCCCCUUAAAAAACUAGGUCUGUUCGACCUUUAAAUUCUUAC
rnacentral:rRNA from 1 species